UACUUAAUUCAACUGGGCGCAUAUUAC
rnacentral:piRNA from 1 species